UACGUGGGGGGCAAGCGUUGUCCGGAUUCAUUGGGCGUAAAGAGCGUGUAGGCGGCCAGAUAGGUCAGCUGUGAAAACUCGGGGCUCAACCCUGAGACGUCGGUUGAAACCAUCUGGCUAGAGUCCGGGAGAGGAGAGUGGAAUUCCUGGUGUAGCGGUGAAAUGCGCAGAUAUCAGGAAGAACACCCGUGGCGAAAGCGGCUCUCUGGAACGGUACUGACGCUGAGACGCGAAAGCGUGGGGAGCGAACAGG
rnacentral:rRNA from 1 species